rnacentral:rRNA from 1 species
UACGGAGGGGGCUAGCGUUGUUCGGAAUUACUGGGCGUAAAGCGCACGUAGGCGGCUUUACAAGUCAGGGGUGAAAGCCCGCGGCUCAACCGCGGAAUUGCCCUUGAGACUGUAUCGCUUGAACACGGGAGAGGUGAGUGGAAUUCCGAGUGUAGAGGUGAAAUUCGUAGAUAUUCGGAAGAACACCAGUGGCUAAGGCGGCUCACUGGACCGUAGUUGACGCUGAGGUGCGAAAGCGUGGGGAGCAAACAGG